rnacentral:rRNA from 1 species
UCGGAUCGCAGCCUGCAACCCGGCUGCGUGAAGCUGGAAUCGCUAGUAAUCGCGGAUCAGAAUGCCGCGGUGAAUACGUUCCCGGGUCUUGUACACACCGCCCGUCACACCAUGGGAGCCGGAAACGCCCGAAGCCAGUGGCCUGACCGAAAGGAGGGAGCUGUCGAAGGCGGGUCCGGUGACCGGGGUGAAGUCGUAACAAGGUACC